UACGUCGGGGGCAAGCGUUGUCCGGAUUUAUUGGGCGUAAAGAGCGUGUAGGCGGCCUGGAAGGUCAGCUGUGAAAACUCGAGGCUCAACCUCGAGACGUCGGUUGAAACCACCUGGCUAGAGUCCGGAAGAGGAGAGUGGAAUUCCCGGUGUAGCGGUGAAAUGCGCAGAUAUCGGGAAGAACACCCGUGGCGAAGGCGGCUCUCUGGGCCAUAACUGACGCUGAGGAGCGAAAGCGUGGGGAGCGAACAGG
rnacentral:rRNA from 1 species